AACGAACGCUGGCGGCAUGCCUAACACAUGCAAGUCGAACGAGACCUUCGGGUCUAGUGGCGCACGGGUGCGUAACGCGUGGGAACCUGCCCUUAGGUUCGGAAUAACUCCCCGAAAGGGGUGCUAAUACCGGAUAAUGUCUUCGGACCAAAGAUUUAUCGCCUUUGGAUGGGCCCGCGUUGGAUUAGCUAGUUGGUAGGGUAAAAGCCUACCAAGGCGACGAUCCAUAGCUGGUCUGAGAGGAUGAUCAGCCACACGGGGACGGAGACACGGCCCAGACUCUGCCGGAGGCCGGCGGGGGGGAUUAUUGAACAGGGGGCAACCGCCGUCUCGAGACUUGCCGGGGGGGGAAUGAAGGCGUUAGGGGGAAAAAGCUUUUUUCCCCGGGUGCAUAAUGACGUUACGGGGGAAAAGGCCCCCGCCAAUCUCCGUG
rnacentral:rRNA from 1 species